GCGCAGCAGUCGAGAAAACUUCACACUGUGCGAAAGCACGAUGAGGGAAUCCCAAGUGCUUGCACGUAAGUGUAAGCUGUUUCUCUGUUUAAAACGCAGAGAGAGUAAGGGCUGGGUAAGACGGGUGCCAGCCGCCGCGGUAAUACCUGCAGCUCAAGUGGUGACCGUUAUUAUUGGGCCUAAAACGUCCGUAGCCGGUUUAAUAAAUGCCUGGGUAAAUCGUGUAGCUUAACUAUACGAAUUCCGGGUAGACUGUUAAACUCGAGACCGGGAGAAGUUAGAGGUACUCCUGGGGUAGAGGUGAAAUUCUGUAAUCCUAGGGGACCACCAGUGGCGAAGGCGUCUAACUAGAACGGGUCUGACGGUGAGGGACGAAGCCCUGGGGCGCAAACGGGAUUAGAUACCCGUGUAGU
rnacentral:rRNA from 1 species